GCAAGUCGAGGGGCAUCACGGGAGUAGCAAUACAACUGGGUGGCGACCGGCGCACGGGUGAGUAACGCGUAUGCAACCUACCUAUCAGAGGGGAAUAACCCGGCGAAAGUCGGACUAAUACCGCAUAAAACAGGGGCACCGCAUGGUGAUAUUUGUUAAAGAAAUUCGCUGAUAGAUGGGCAUGCGUUCCAUUAGGUAGUUGGUGAGGUAACGGCUCACCAAGCCGACGAUGGAUAGGGGAACUGAGAGGUUGGUCCCCCACACUGGUACUGAGACACGGACCAGACUCCUACGGGAGGCAGCAGUGAGGAAUAUUGGUCAAUGGGCGGGAGCCUGAACCAGCCAAGUCGCGUGAAGGAAGAAGGAUCUAUGGUUACGUAAACUUCUUUUGCGAGGGGAAUAAAGUGCAGGACGUGUCCUGUUUUGUAUGUACCCUGAGAAUAAGGAUCGGCUAACUCCGUGCCAGCCGCCGC
rnacentral:rRNA from 1 species